UACGGAGGGUGCAAGCGUUGUUCGGAAUCAUUGGGCGUAAAGCGCGUGUAGGCGGCUUGGCAAGUCGGUUGUGAAAGCCCGGGGCCCAACCCCGGAACUGCAUCCGAAACUGCCUGGCUAGAGUCCCGGAGAGGAAGGCAGAAUUCCCGGUGUAGGGGUGAAAUGCGCAGAUAUCGGGAGGAACACCAAUGGCGAAGGCAGCUCGCUGGGACGGUACUGACGCUGAGACGCGAAAGCGUGGGGAGCAAACAGG
rnacentral:rRNA from 1 species